GAGGUGUGUGUGGUUUGGUGUGAGUCAGACUGAGACUCAUCCUGAUUUUUUAAUGCUCGGUGCUGAUGCUAAUCAUUACGGCCCCCUGAGGGCCUGGAAUUCAGCAUGGAGUCGGAGCUCAGAGAACAGGAGCAGCACCGAGACCCGAGACCCGAGACCUGAGCGCCACACGCCUGUUUACACCCUCACACCCUCACUCCCUCACUCCACUAAUCUACAGAGCCAACAGGAAGUCAAAGGAAAGAAGUUGCUAAGGCGUGCAGUCGAUUCUAAAGAACUUACCUUCGUAUCUGGGAUGAACUCGUGGUGCAUGAGCUCCAAACUUGAUAAGGAUGGGAAUGUCGUAAUCCUGACGGACCCACUCGACUACAUGCAGCGGAGCUGAGAACACUCUGGCUGGAAGACUGAAGGGACAAUUCAGCAGAGCCGAACCUCCCUGUUUCACCCUCAGCGUCGACAACUCGCCUCCGACUUCACCUACCACAGAUAUCGUGAUCCUCACCAAAGAAGCAGAGGAUCGCAGCAGCAGUAAUGAUCACUCCUUGGACUGGAAGCUGCUUCAGUGUCAUGGCGGACAUUUAAACACACUCUGACAUCUCCUGAACUG